UAUGGAGAGUUUGAUCCUGGCUCAGGACGAACGCUGGCGGCGUGCCUAAUACAUGCAAGUCGAGCGGGCGAUUCAAAAGCUUGCUUUUGAAUCGUUAGCGGCGGACGGGUGAGUAACACGUGGGCAACCUGCCCUGUAGACGGGGAUAACACCGAGAAAUCGGUGCUAAUACCGGAUAACACGAAAUGUCGCAUGACGUUUCGUUGAAAGGCGGCGCAAGCUGCCGCUACAGGAUGGGCCCGCGGCGCAUUAGCUAGUUGGUGAGGUAACGGCUCACCAAGGCGACGAUGCGUAGCCGACCUGAGAGGGUGAUCGGCCACACUGGGACUGAGACACGGCCCAGACUCCUACGGGAGGCAGCAGUAGGGAAUCUUCCGCAAUGGACGAAAGUCUGACGGAGCAACGCCGCGUGAGCGAAGAAGGCCUUCGGGUCGUAAAGCUCUGUUGUUAGGGAAGAACAAGUAACGUAGUAACUGGCGUUACUGUGACGGUACCUAACGAGAAAGCCACGGCUAACUACGUGCCAGCAGCCGCGG
rnacentral:rRNA from 1 species